rnacentral:rRNA from 1 species
GAACGGGUGAGUAACACGUGGAUAACCUGCCUCAAGGCUGGGGAUAACAUUUGGAAACAGAUGCUAAUACCGAAUAAAACUUAGUAUCACAUGAUAUCAAGUUAAAAGGCGCUACGGCGUCACCUAGAGAUGGAUCCGCGGUGCAUUAGUUAGUUGGUGGGGUAAAGGCUUACCAAGACGAUGAUGCAUAGCCGAGUUGAGAGACUGAUCGGCCACAUUGGGACUGAGACACGGCCCAAACUCCUACAGGAGGCUGCAGUAGGGAAUCUUCCACAAUGGGCGCAAGCCUGAUGGAGCAACGCCGCGUGUGUGAUGAAGGCUUUCGGGUCGUAAAGCACUGUUGUAUGGGAAGAAAUGCUAAAAUAGGGAAUGAUUUUAGUUUGACGGUACCAUACCAGAAAGGGACGGCUAAAUACGUGCCAGCAGCCGCGGUAAUACGUAUGUCCCGAGCGUUAUCCGGAUUUAUUGGGCGUAAAGCGAGCGCAGACGGUUGAUUAAGUCUGAUGUGAAAGCCCGGAGCUCAACUCCGGAAUGGCAUUGGAAACUGGUUAACUUGAGUGUUGUAGAGGUAAGUGGAACUCCAUGUGUAGCGGUGGAAUGCGUAGAUAUAUGGAAGAACACCAGUGGCGAAGGCGGCUUACUGGACAACAACUGACGUUGAGGCUCGAAAGUGUGGGUAGCAAACAGGAUUAGAUACCCUGGUAGUCCACACCGUAAACGAUGAAUACUAGGUGUUAGGAGGUUUCCGCCUCUUAGUGCCGAAG